UAAGAAUAUUCCGCAAUGGACGAAAGUCUGACGGAGCGACGCCGCGUGGAUGAUGAAGGCCGAAAGGUUGUAAAGUUCUUUUACUGGGGAAGAAUAACCGUAGGAGGGAAUGCCUGCGGGAUGACAUGAACCGGUGAAUAAGCCCCGGCCAACUACGUGCCAGCAGCCGCGGUAACACGUAGGGGGCGAGCGUUGUUCGGAAUUACUGGGCGUAAAGGGCAUGUAGGCGGUUUGGUAAGCCUGGCGUGAAAUACUGCAGCUUAACUGCAGGGGUGCGUUGGGAACUGCUGAGCUUGAGUGACGGAGAGGGAGCUAGAAUUCCUGGUGUAGGGGUGAAAUCUGUAGAUAUCAGGAAGAAUACCGAUGGCGAAGGCAAGCUCCUGGCCGAUGACUGACGCUGAGGUGCGAAAGUGUGGGGAUCAAAC
rnacentral:rRNA from 1 species